AUGUUCCUAUAUUUUAUUUGGACCAUUAGCUCCAUGCUACUAACUAGCUCGCCUUUUACAAAUCACCCAUCAGCCAACACCACGAAGCAACCGACGCCGGACCCACAAUGCAACGCCAAGACACAGCCAGCCGGACAACACAAGCUAAACAACAAUAUCACUAUACUCCACAAGCUUUGCAGUAAUGUUAGCUUUGUCUCUGGACUCUGUGUUGUGGACUCUGUGUUGGACUCUGUGUUGUGGACUCUGUGUUGGACUCUGUGUUGUGGACUCUGUGUUGGACUCUGUGUUGUGGACUCUGUGUUGGACCCUGUGUUGUGGACUCUGUGUUGUGGACUCUGUGUUGUGGACUCUGUGUGGCUUGUUGGACUCUCUGUUGUGGACUCUGUGUUGGACUCUGUGUUGGACUCUGUGUUGGACUCUGUGUUGUGGACUCUGUGUUGGACUCUGUGUUGUGGACUCUGUGUUGUGGACUCUGUGUUGGACUCUGUGUUGGACUCUGUGUUGUGGACUCUGUGUUGUGGACUCUGUGUUGGACUCUGUGUUGGACUCUGUGGUGGACUCUGUGUUGGACUCUGUGUUGUGGACUCUGUGUUGGACGUGGUGGACUCUGUGUUGUGGACUCUGUGUUGGACCCUGUGUUGUGGACUCUGUGUUGUGGACUCUGUGUUGUGGACUCUGUGUUGUGGACUCUGUGUUGGACCCUGUGUUGGACUCUGUGUUGGACUCUGUGUUGUGGACUCUGUGUUGGACUCUGUGUUGUGGACUCUGUGUUGGACUCUGGGUUGGACUCUGUGGUGGACUCUGUGUUGUGGACUCUGUGUUGUGGACUCUGUUGGACUCUGUGUUGUGGACUCUGUGGUGGACUCUGUGUUGUGGACUCUGUUGUGGACUCUGUGUUGGACUCUGUGUUGUGGACUCUGUGUUGGACUCUGUGUUGGACUCUGUGUUGUGGACUCUGUGUUGGACUCUGUGUUGGACUCUGUGUUGUGGACUCUGUGUUGUGGACUCUGUGUUGUGGACUCUGUGGUGGACUCUGUGUUGGACUCUGUUGUGGUGGGUGUCGGCCGUUUGUAG
rnacentral:lncRNA from 1 species